CCAUUGUGAAAGUGAAAUAGUCAGUGAAAAUGAAGAGGCAAAAAUUAUCGUAAAACCGAAAGAACUCGUCGAGCUGUGGCGCACAUACGCAGCCAACCACGAAUGGCAAAUUAAAUUUCCUUAUGGUCGAGACAAUAGUCGGAGUGAUUGAAGAGAUGGCGCCAACUUGCAUUCAGUUCUAUUGCUUAAUAUGAAUUUAUGUUUGAACCUAAAUUCCCUGUGACCGACACUUAUAGAAAAUGGAUUGAUGAAGCCAGUGUUGGGGAUAUUCACGGUUUAUAUACAAAUGGGCGAGGAUAUCACCCGGAGGGUAUGGCAAGAGUGUUUUGCAUAUAUUAAUAUGUUACUAAUGCUAUUAUGGCUAUGCAAUUCAGUCUCACUCCUGCGUCCUUCAGACUGGCUUUAUUUUCCAAGACGUAUGUGUCAAAUGGAUUUAAAAAGAGUCAUCAGGAAAAUAAAUUGACGUCCACGCUGAAAAUAAAAUACAGUUAAAUAUUUAACAUGACGAAUUUUCGUUUUGCCAAAAAGCAUGAGCAAUAAAUUGUCUCGCGUUUGAAUUUUGUCUAGACCAUGGUUGAAUACAAAAUGAGGUAUUAAUGGACGAGAUGAUGAAAACAAAUUGAGAAAUAAAAAAAAUUUAAGGGGAGAUAAUCGGAUAGAUCACGCACAGUAGGCGUACAUUGAUUGGUCUUGGUCCUUUUAUUCCACGCGUUUUUUUUUUCUUCUUUCAUUCGUUUCUUUCAUUUCUUCAUUCAUUCCUCCUCCACGUUAUUUCUCGUGUUCUCUAGAUACCGUCCCCAUGGGGAAUGAUAAUCGUGGGCACCUUUGGUAUGCGCAUUAAAAUACAACGGAGGCGCCUGAAACGAACACGUUUUGGGUUGGCACGUUUUGUACUCCAUGUACGCAUUGACAGGAUGAAAAUUGUCGUGCGCAUACCAAAGUGUUAAAUAUCUUCACUCAGAUAAAAAUUUAUUUGUCUAUGAACUCCAUUCAAUCCCGAGAAAUAUGUAUU